rnacentral:lncRNA from 11 species
AUGGCUGCUAAAAUAGGAGAGAUCCCUCACUUGAAUAAUUCUGCACCACUUGUGGACCCCUCAGUCUACAGUUACGGAGUAAAACGGCCUCUGGAUGACGGAAGUCUCCGUGUAAGUUGGCUCCAUGGAGCACAGAUAAGAGAGACCCAGAGAAGUAUGUUGCAAGUCCCCUUCCCUCUCUUUAUCUCUCCAUCUCUCUUUCCUCUCCCGCUUAGAUUAAACCUUCCCCGAAUCUCUUGUGUCUUCCUUCUUGGCUGCUCCUUCUCUUUUAAUUGUGUACCAAUCCGCUUGAUCCUCCUUUUUAAAUAUAUAUAUCUAUCUAUAUAAAAAAUAACUGUGCCCGGCCACGCGUUGCUGUGGCGAAGUAUGGUGAGACUGUACUGUAUAUAUUGAUAAUCUUAUAUUAUCUGCUUAAAACUGGAUUAUAUGAGCCCCUUCUUCAUAGCUGUAUAAAAUGCACACUGAAGUGGAUUAUAUGGCAGUGUGGAGUCAAGAUAAUCCAGUUCAAAGCAGAUAAUAUAAGAUUCUAAAUGGGUUAUAUAGCUGUGUGGAAGGGCCUUGAGUCUACACUGCCAUAUAAUCCAGUGCAAAUUAGAUAAUAUGUGGAAGAGGCCUAAGUGAGGCCUGCCUGUCCCCUGGGCUGAGUAGGUUGCUAGGAGACCAAGUGGGCGGAGCUUAGCCUUCUAACUGGCAGCAAUUGGAUAAAAGAGAUAAGCAAACACUAUAAAGGUUCAAAACAUAAAAAGAGAUGUGACAUGUAAAGGCCACAGAAAUAGUCAGGCCUUUCUGAGUAUAGAGCUAUCUUCUUUCUAUGUGAAAAAGAUAAGCAAAUACUAUAAAGGUUCAAAACAUAAAAUGUGCUAUGUAAUUUAGAGCAUCAUGUACAACAUAAUAACCUGAGAGUUACACAUAAUGAAAAUAAUAAGUACAGUCACU